ensembl:snoRNA
UGCAGUCAAGUCAAAUUCAACUCCCAUCCUGCCAUGGUGGGGGCUGGCCCAGGUGACUGCCACAGCAAGCUUGUAGCCCAUGGGCCCCAGAUCCCUUGCUUUGGGGCCUGGGGAUAAAUUUGGCUGCAGACAUUG